AACUAACGCUGGCGGCGUGCCUAACACAUGCAAGUCGUACGAGAAAGUCGGCUUCGGCCGAUGAGUACAGUGGCGCACGGGUGAGUAGCGCGUGGGUAAUCUGCCCCCCGGUCAGGAAUAACCCGCCGAAAGGCGGGCUAAUACCCGAUAAACACUGACGCUCCGCGGAGCGUCUUUCAAAGAAGGCCUCUGUUUACAAGCUUUCGCCGGAGGAUGAGCCCGCGUACCAUUAGCUAGUUGGCAGGGUAAUGGCCUACCAAGGCUACGAUGGUUAGCUGGUCUGAGAGGAUGGCCAGCCACACUGGAACUGAGACACGGUCCAGACUCCUACGGGAGGCAGCAGUGAGGAAUAUUGGUCAAUGGGGCGCAAGCCUGAACCAGCCAUCCCGCGUGCAGGAAGACGGCCCUAUGGGUUGUAAACUGCUUUUCCAGGGAGAGAAACUUACGCACGUGUUGCGUGACUGACGGUACCCUGGGAAUAAGCAUCGGCUAACUCCGUGCC
rnacentral:rRNA from 1 species